CCCUUCCCUUUCGGCAAAAACCCCAACCCGGAGCAGGCUCCACCCAACCACGGCCCGCUGCCUCGCCCGACGACCCCAGCCAAAACCCUAGCCGGAGCAGCGGCAUCAUGCUCCUGGGCACGGGCAAGCGCGGCCACGCCGGCAACGGCGACGGAGGAGGCGGCGGCGGCGGCCCGGCUCUGCUCGGCAACCAGGGCCUCGGGAGCUACGCGCAGCCCGGCCAUUCCGCCGGCGGCGGCGACGAUGGCCUUGCCGCGGCCCUCCUCGACGCGCUCGGCCUGGGGAGCUUCGCGCGGCUCGCCCUCCCCUUCCCGCCCGACGGGCUCGGCCUCGCCGCCGCCGCGGACCCCUGCUCGGACCGCAUUCUCGUUUCCCUCGGAGGCGCCAGCGCCAUCGCCUCGCCCGCCGACCUCGCGGCCGCGCUCCUGCUGCCGCUAGGCGCCACGCUCUCCCUCGCCCCGGAGUACGCGGCCCUGUUCUCCUCCGUGGAGGCAAUCGCCGCCGUGAGGGUGUUCGUCCACGAUCGCCUGCUGCAGCUGGGGGGAACAGGGGGUGGCCAACCGCUGCCGGCGGAGACCGUCGAGGCCCUGCAGCUGGUGGAGGGUGGGAGGGCGUACGCGGUGGACUGGGGCCGGUUUGUCUGGGCGUUUCUGAGGUGGGAUGUGUUGGUCGGCAAUGGACGGCGUUGCGGUCAGUACCUUCUCCGUUUGAUGAGAUGCCAAAGGCCGGACCUUUUCUCCGAGUUUGAUGGGAGGUUCCUUGGGGAGAGGAAGAAAGGCCUAAUCCUGCAGCAGCAGCACCAGGAGACAUUGUUCCAUGGGAACAGCGGCCAUGGUCAACUCAUGGCAGCAGAAGAGACAUUGCUAUUUGGACAGAGCAAAAACAUUGGAAAGAUGCCUGCAUCUGGAUACGUCAACGAUCAACAGCAUAGAAUUGAACCUGAAGAUCAAGAACCUGACAACCAUGACAGUGUUGCUCCUAGCCUUCCUUCUUUCUACGCCAGUCGACAGCAAGUUCUAGCUCAUUUCUCUAGCAUGGAGAAUGCAUUUUCGGAGAGGGAGAGAACUUUGGCACACAAUCGAGCUGAAAUACAGCACAUGAAGGAGAAGGAGAGGGAGAAAGAUAAUCAAAUAGCGUAUAUCGUUAAGGAGAUAGAGGGGGAACUUAAAGCAAGGUUCACCAAAAUUAAGCAGCUUGAGCAUGACAAAAUGGCAAUGGCCAAAACUCUUCAUUGGUGCAAAACUAUGCUUCAACAGUCCUCUGCUGCAUUUUCGGAGUAUAGGAAGAUGGUGUGCGAAGAAAGUGGUGGAUCAUCUUUGGAUGCUGUGGCUGAUGAGAAGAAUCGGGUACGUUUGAUGCAGCAGCAGUGGCAUGCCCAUGAAAUUAUAAAUGACAUCCAAAAACGCUUAAUUUUGAAGUUCUCGGCAUCUGCCGAGCAGAUUACUGUGCUGUUAAGAAAGCUUGCAGACCUCAACCAUGAAGUGCAAAGGUUGAAGGGUUCCAGAUCAAUUCCAGAUCUCAAUGUGGGGCCUCAUCUUUGACUUCUUCAUUUAGGAAUCUACAAUGCUGAUGAUGCAGGUGACCGUCUUUCGAUUCAAGUCUUUGGCACGCAGAAGGAUGUACAUUUUGGUAUUGCUGAAAUAGCCGAGAUGCUUCUCGUAUGGAUGUCUAUUUGUGACUAGUUGUUCUGUUAUGCUUUUGGUUUCAUUUAUGUCUAUAGCUUAUGAUGAACAGUUAAGAGGUGAUAUGUCGCCUGCAUUAUCUCCUUAUUGGAUACUUGGUUGGAGCCUGAAGGAUAUGGUGUAUGCUAUCUUUCCCUUCCGUAUUUACUUUUAGUGUCAAACUAAUCUCUGUAUUGAUAUGGUGA